rnacentral:rRNA from 1 species
ACGUAGGGUGCGAGCGUUAAUCGGAAUUACUGGGCGUAAAGCGUGCGCAGGCGGCUCUAUAAGACAGAUGUGAAAUCCCCGGGCUUAACCUGGGAACUGCGUUUGUGACUGUAGGGCUUGAGUGCGGCAGAGGGGGGUGGAAUUCCGCGUGUAGCAGUGAAAUGCGUAGAUAUCGGGAGGAACACCGGUGGCGAAAGCGACUCUCUAGACCGUAACUGACGAUGAGUGUGCGAAAGCUAGGGGAACAAACGG